rnacentral:rRNA from 1 species
CUACCUUCGGGUGGCGAGUAAAGUAGCGCACGGGUGAGUAACGCGUGAGUGACCUUCCCUUGAAUCUGGAAUAACACCGCGAAAGUGGUGCUAAUACCGGAUACGACCCAACAGCAAUGUUGGGAGAAAGCCGGCCUCUCUUUAGAAGCUGGUGUUCGAGGAUGGGCUCGCGUCCUAUCAGCUAGUUGGUGAGGUUAUGGCUCACCAAGGCGACGACGGGUAGCUGGUCUGAGAGGAUGAUCAGCCACACUGGCACUGAAACACGGGCCAGACUCCUACGGGAGGCAGCAGUGGGGAAUUUUGCGCAAUGGGGGAAACCCUGACGCAGCAACGCCGCGUGAGUGAAGAAGGCCUUCGGGUCGUAAAGCUCUGUCGAGUGGGAAGAAACGUCCCGCGAAUAAUACGCGCGGGAUUUGACGGUACCACUAAAGGAAGCACCGGCUAACUCCGUGCCAGCAGCCGCGGUAAUACGGAGGGUGCUAGCGUUGUUCGGAUUUAUUGGGCGUAAAGGGCGCGUAGGCGGCUAGGUAAGUCUGACGUGAAAGCCCAGGGCUCAACCCUGGAAGUGCAUUGGAUACUGCUUAGCUAGAGUACUGGAGAGGAAGGGGGAAUUCCCGGUGUAGAGGUGAAAUUUGUAGAGAUCGGGAGGAAUAUCUGUGGCGAAGGCGCCCUUCUGGACGGAUACUGACGCUGAGGCGCGAAAGCGUGGGGAGCAAACAGGAUUAGAUACCCUGGUAGUCCACGCCGUAAACGAUGAGCACUAGGUGUAGCGGGUAUUGACUCCUGCUGUGCCGCAGCUAACGCAAUAAGUGCUCCGCCUGGGGAUUACGGUCGCAAGACUAAAACUCAAAGGAAUUGACGGGGGCCCGCACAAGCGGUGGAGCAUGUGGUUUAAUUCGACGCAACGCGAAGAACCUUACCUGGGUUUGACAUCCUCUGCUCGCCAUGGAAACAUGGUUUUCUCCUUCGGGAGACAGAGUGACAGGUGCUGCAUGGCUGUCGUCAGCUCGUGUCGUGAGAUGUUGGGUUAAGUCCCGCAACGAGCCAACCCCUGCCUUUAGUUGCCAUCAUUCAGUUGGGCACUCUAGAGGGACUGCCGGUGUUAAACCGGAGGAAGGUGGGGAUGACGUCAAGUCCUCAUGGCCUUUAUAUCCAGGGCUACACACGUGCUACAAUGGGCGGUACAAAGGGUCGCGACCUCGCGAGAGGAAGCCAAUCCCAAAAAGCCGUUCACAGUUCGGAUUGGAGUCUGCAACUUGACUCCAUGAAGUUGGAAUCGCUAGUAAUCCCGCAUCAGCAUGGCGGGAUGAAUACGUUCCCGGGCCUUGUACACACCGCCCGUCACACCACGAAAGUCGGCUGUACCAGAAGUACGUAGGCUAACU